rnacentral:rRNA from 1 species
AUGGAGAUCUCCCUGGACGCCGCGCUGCUGGGCGUGCAGCGGCACGGGCAGGACCUGGCCUACCGCCUCGCGCAGGGCGUCUCGGGCCUCCUCCUCCACCUCCACGUGCAGCCGCCGCAGCUCCCCUGGCCCGCCCCGCCGCUGUCGCUCAAGCUCAUCCCCUUCGACAUCGAGCUCCCCGCCGCCCCCUUCGCGGUGGGCGGGGGCGUCGACCUCCCGGCCGUGGCCGUCGCGUCGUUCGUCGAGAUCGGCGGCCGGCUCGGGCAGGCCGGGUCCGACCUCGGCGCCUCCGUCGGCGGCGCCGUGCAGCAGCUGUCGCGGCAGAUCCCCGUGCCGUUCCGCGCAGAGCGCGCGCGGCGCCGGAAGUGGGAGGGGGCCGCUGCGCCACCGACGACCGCGGCGGUGGACGAGGGGGAGGCGGGGCUCGCUGCGGAGAGGGCUGCCGAGGGCGGGGUGGCCUUGGAGGGUGUCGGGGAAGGAGGCUCUCUCGAGGAGGUGGCUGCGGCUGUGGCGGCGGCCACUGGGAGUGCCGCUGCCGCCAGUGCGGUCGGGGCCGGGGCUGAGGGUGCGGAUGGGUCGGAUGAAGAGGAAGACGGGUUCGGGUUCGAGUUCGAGAUCGGCACUCUGGGGAAAUUUAUGAAGCCUCAGGGGACUGUAAAUGUCUCAGCAAUGUACAAUACAAGGCACCAUACUGUUGAUAGUUCAGUUGUUGCACGUGGAGACUUUUGGAGGUUAGAAUCAUCACGAGGUGGUUCAAAUAAUGGAAAUGACAAUGCACCUGGUUUCCUUAUUCAGUUGGGUCCCUUACUUUUUGUGCGAGACUCUACAACACUUCUUUUGCCUAUUAAUCUGUCAAAGCAACACCUCAUUUGGUAUGCUUAUGAUCACAAGAAUGGAGUGCAUUCCUUAUGUCCAGUUAUCUGGUCAAAACAGAAAAAAUGGUUGUUGAUGUCCAUGAUGUGCCUCAACCCGGUAGCUUGUGCCUUCAUGGAUGUGGAAUUCUCAAAUGGGCAAUUUAGAUAUGUUGCUGGUGAGGGGAUAACAGCAAGUGGUUUUCUCCCAUUAUUUGGUGGAUUGCUUCAAGCCCAUGGAAAAAUUCCUGGAGAAACCAAACUGAGCUUCUCCUUCAAGAGCUCGCAAGGUACAUGGUUUACCCCUACAUAUCAAUGGCCUGACAAUUCUCUGUCAUUUGGAGUCGCCCACGCGGUAGCAUGGAAAAAGUCUGGCCUUAUGAUGAGACCGAGCACCCAAGUCAGUGUUUGCCCCACUCUUGGAGGAAGUGAUCCGGGCAUACGGGCGGAGAUUGUCCAUUCAUUGAAGGAAGAGAUCGGUGUGUCGUGCGGCUUCUCAUGCUCGAGACAUCCUUCGGCUUUCACAUCUCUUUCUAUUGGGCGGUCCAAGUUGAACGGUGAAGUUGGCAGUUCUGGGGUAGUAGUCACCAUGGAGAAACCCCUCGACAACAUGGGACCUCCAUCUUUAUCUGUUCAACUCAACGGAGGUCUCGAGUUCUGA